rnacentral:rRNA from 1 species
UACAGAGGUGGCAAGCGUUGUUCGGAAUUACUGGGCGUAAAGGGCGCGUAGGCGGCCUUCUAAGUCAGACGUGAAAUCCCCCGGCUUAACCUGGGAACUGCGUCUGAUACUGGGAGGCUUGAGUUUGGGAGAGGGACGCGGAAUUCCAGGUGUAGCGGUGAAAUGCGUAGAUAUCUGGAGGAACACCGGUGGCGAAGGCGGCGUCCUGGACCAACACUGACACUGAGGAGCGAAAGCCAGGGGAGCAAACGGG